AUGCUGCAGGUGGGGGACACCCUCCAUCGAUAUGUUUGCCACUUCGAUCAACAAGAAGUGUCAAAGAUAUGCGUCCCACGCAAGAAGAGGCCAGGGAUCGUUAGGGCAUGCCUUCAUGAUUCCUUGGAGCGAAGGCCUCCUUUAUCUGUUCCCUCCAAUACCCAUCAUUCAGAGAGCUCUUGUCAGAACCCUUCAGAUGACAGCGGAAGCAAUCCUGAUUGCACCCUGGUGGCCGAGACAACCAUGGUUCUCUCUUCUCCAGUCUGCAGCAGACAAACUAAAGCUCCUCCUUGUUCCACACCUAAUCUCCCAAGACUCGGGGUCAAUCUUUCACCUGGACGUGGAGUCCCUCCACUUAACUGCGUGGACGAUAUCCCAUCGAUAAAAGAGGUAAUCGACAAAGCUAGAAAACCAACUAACCGUCUUUAUGAUCACAAAUGGCGAGGCUUCCUAAAGUUCACCAAGGAAUGGAAUUUGCAACCCUCACCAGUAGCUUUGUCCACACUUUUGAUGUACCUCAGACAUCUCUUUGAUUUGGGACUCACUAAAUCUACACUACAAGUCUACAUGUCAGCCAUUGUAGCAUUCCAGCCACAAGGCUCUGAAUCAGCGAAAUGGUUUUCACACCCAACAUUGAAAACUUUCUUCAAGGGCCUUUCAAAUAUGAGACCACCUGCGAAGAAACCUUUACCACAAUGGUCUUUGCAACUUGUGCUUCAUUCCCUUACUCACCCUCCUUUCGAGCCUAUGGCUACUUGUGACAUGAAGUUACUGUCAUUCAAGACUCUGUUUUUAGUGGCCAUUACUUCAGCUAGGAGAGCUAGUGAGCUAGCUGCUCUUCGUGCAGACUCUCCAUACCUCCAGUUCUUUAAAGACAAGGUGGUUAUGUAUCCUAAUGUUUCCUUUCUCCCUAAAGUCGUCUCGGAGUUUCAUGUUAAUCAACCUUUGUUGUUACCUACUUUAUUUCCCAAUCCAGUUUCAGAAGUUGAGCGCAUGCUCCACUGUUUAGAUGUUCGACGUGCACUGUCUUUUUAUGUUACAAGAACCAAGGACUUUAGAAAGGUACAAAGACUCUUUAUUUGCUUCUACGGUCCACGCAAGGGAUCUGCUGCCUCAUCAUCUUCCCUGUCCAGAUGGUUGGUCUCCACCAUUUCCCUAGCCUAUGAGUUACAGGACAAGCCUCUCCCUGAGGGUCUUCGAGCUCAUUCCACUAGAGCUGUUCCCCAUCCAUGGCCCUGCUGCGAGGAGUUGACGUCCCUGACAUAUGCAGAGCAGCUACGUGGUCCAAUGUGUCUACUUUAA
rnacentral:lncRNA from 1 species